GGUCCCGCUACUCUGCUUAAGCAAUGACCACUCAAGAGGAAAUACAAGCAGUUCCUGUUCCUCCCACUGUGAUUGUCGACAGUCGGCACCCAUUACGGAGCCAAAUUCCUGCCCACAUGCAGAGGGGAACGAAGAUCUACGGGAUGCUUGUAAAAGGCGGCUGUACGAUGUUCACCCUCAUAUGUGGCCUCAUAUUCCUUCUCUGCGGCGCAUUUACCACGAUUAUGAUCCUGGAUGCAGGCGAUACACAAGCUACACCGACUCUGUGCGUCCUCUUUCUCGUAGCAGUGGGAGGGGAGUGGUUUCAUGACACUAAUCACAGAUUGAUAUGACAGGGUUUCCUGAUCCACUUCUUCGCAAAGGCGAAAAAGAAAGCAUCAAGAGAGUUCAAAUCCCUUCCAGCCGACCACCCCGACCGCCUGAAGUACGGUGUUGAAGCACACCCGACAGACACGUCCACCUCAUCUCCAGUAGCCAGCAUUUAUCACUUCCUCUCCCAAAGAGAAGGAAGUGGUGAUAGCACUGGAGUAGUAGCAAUUAGGACAGCACAGCCAUCUGUUCCGCCCUUGUCCUAUCGGCAAGGAUUUCCCUUAGAGAACUCGUACUUCGCUCCACAGGUGCAUUCUACUGCUCCUCCACCUCUGAGAGAGUACUCACCUCCACGAGUAGAUUAUCCACUCUUCCUUGGACCUUCUGCUCCUCCAAUGCGAGUGACCAAUGAAACUCACUCAAAAUACUUGGAUGACUCUCCACCAUAUUCGGAAAUCGAAAAGCUUGGUUUUAAUUCUUGAUGUAAUAUAUUUGUAUA